rnacentral:rRNA from 1 species
UACGUAGGGUCCGAGCGUUGUCCGGAAUUAUUGGGCGUAAAGGGCUCGUAGGCGGUUUGUCGCGUCGAAUGUGAAAACCCGGGGCUCAACCCCGGGCCUGCAUUCGAUACGGGCAGACUAGAGUUCGGUAGGGGAGUCUGGAAUUCCUGGUGUAGCGGUGAAAUGCGCAGAUAUCAGGAGGAACACCGGUGGCGAAGGCGGGACUCUGGGCCGAUACUGACGCUGAGGAGCGAAAGCGUGGGGAGCAAACAGG